AAUUCUCAACCACACCUGGUGUGGCUUGGACUUGGGGGAUAAUGCAGGCUCCGACUCGGUCGGUCUGCUCCCCUGAAAUACAUGGGCAAAGUAAAAAGGCCUCUUUGUUGGGUGUGAUAACAUUAUCUGCAUCCGAGAGGUCGUCUAAGUUUGCCGAAAUUGAACUCUAUUUG
rnacentral:misc_RNA from 1 species